GCCUUAAUUGGGUUGGUUUAGGAGUCCUUAAGCUAUCCUAAUUGAGUUUUUAGCCUAUAAAUAGGCCUGUGCGUGAACAGAGAGGGGUGCGGUGGUUUUGGCUUGGUUUUUUCAUGAGAGAGGACCCGUGAUCUCGCAUGGGCAGAAAAUCGAGAAAACCCAUAGAGAGAAAGGGAGCAGACGCUGUAAGCUGAGAGAGAAAGAGCAAGGCUCC
rnacentral:lncRNA from 1 species